UCUAUUUUGUCAUGUGCUCAUCUAGUCAUGUGUACUGUACUGCUGCAUGGCUGUUGUAAUUGUGUAUUUGUGUGACUUUGUAACUGUCCAGUGUCCGUGCUGUGUAGUGUACAUAGUAUCAUGUUUCGUUUACGGUUUAGUGAAGUUUUUAUUCUUAUUUCUUGUCUUUUGAGUAAAUUAAAAACAAUUUUAAAAAAUGUCUAAAAUACGAAAAAAUAUUAAGUGUUUGAUAAACCAGUGGAUUGAACCAUAUAAUAAGGAGUAAGGACACUACUGUAUUAACAACUGAUGUAAACAUAGUCUUAUUGUCAGCAUUCAAAAAUUAGAGUCAUCUAAUUUAUCUUUGUAUGAAGCGACAAAAAUUGUUGAUGAAACUAUUUUAAACAUGGAAAUGGUAUCUGGAAAUAAUGGAAGAAUUAUUAAAGAGAAAGUUUCUGAUUUAAUACACAAAAAUGGUGGUUUUCAAAUAUUGAAGGAGAUAUCAGAUGUUUUAUCCGGAAAAAAAGAAAGUUUCUUACCCCCAAAUUUCACACCCAUGAUGAGUACUUGUACGAAAUUUGCACCUACAACUUCUGUGGACGUUGAACAGUCCUUUAAUACUUAUAAAAUGAUAUUAAUUGAAAAAAGAACCAAUAUUACCUCACAAAAUAUGGAAAUGUAUAUUGUAAUUAAUUAAUUUGAUGUUGAAAAGUACAACAAUCAUAUUUAAUUAUUA